AUUGAACGCUGGCGGCAUGCUUUACACAUGCAAGUCGAACGGCAGCGCGGGCUUCGGCCUGGCGGCGAGUGGCGAACGGGUGAGUAAUGCAUCGGAACGUGCCCAGUAGUGGGGGAUAGCCCGGCGAAAGCCGGAUUAAUACCGCAUACGACCUGAGGGUGAAAGCGGGGGACCGAAAGGCCUCGCGCUAUUGGAGCGGCCGAUGUCGGAUUAGCUAGUUGGUGGGGUAAAGGCUUACCAAGGCGACGAUCCGUAGCUGGUCUGAGAGGACGACCAGCCACACUGGGACUGAGACACGGCCCAGACUCCUACGGGAGGCAGCAGUGGGGAAUUUUGGACAAUGGGGGAAACCCUGAUCCAGCCAUGCCGCGUGCGGGAAGAAGGCCUUCGGGUUGUAAACCGCUUUUGUUCGGGAAGAAAUCCUCUGGGCUAAUACCCCGGGGGGAUGACGGUACCGGCAGAAUAAGCACCGGCUAACUACGUG
rnacentral:rRNA from 1 species